GUGUGUCAAUCAAUAAAUGUUUUAUUUACUUUUUGUUUGGAAGCCAUGUAUGCCAUUAGAUGGAAAUGUCAAAUGUACUUUUAUUGAAAAUAAUUGCUUUAAACUAAGUUUGAAUAUGAAAUGAAAAUUACAAAGGAAUGCAGCAAUUCUGACAAGCUUAAUUCAACUCCAAAUUAAACAAUAUGUUGUACCUCCCCUCUCAUUACCCUAGAAAAGGAAGACAAAGGAAGACACCAUUAUUGUGUCGCAGCAAAAUAUAGCUAAAAUAUGAUGGGAUGAGGUUGGCAUUCCUGCUUAUGAAGAAUAGCAAAGAAGAUAUUGCACCAAAACUGACAUCAUAGCAUUUCCCAGGAUAGAUUGAAAUAAGCACAGGUUAACCCUUUUUAAAAAAGAAUAACCCUUAUUAUAAACAAAUUACAGACCUGUUAGUUUUCUUCCAAUUUUGUCUAAAAAUUUUAUAAAGGUUUUUGAAUCAC
rnacentral:lncRNA from 1 species